UACGGCGAAUCACACUUGGCGAGUCGUUCCCUGUUAAUCAAUUGGUCGUAGGUUCGAUCCCUACCGCCGGAGCCA
rnacentral:tRNA from 1 species